GAUGAACGCUGGCGGCGUGCCUAAUACAUGCAAGUCGAACGCUGAAGGAAGGAGCUUGCUCUUUCCGGAUGAGUUGCGAACGGGUGAGUAACGCGUAGGUAACCUGCCUGGUAGCGGGGGAUAACUAUUGGAAACGAUAGCUAAUACCGCAUAACAGUAGAUGUUGCAUGAUAUCUACUUAAAAGGUGCAAUUGCACCACUACCAGAUGGACCUGCGUUGUAUUAGCUAGUUGGUGAGGUAACGGCUCACCAAGGCGACGAUACAUAGCCGACCUGAGAGGGUGAUCGGCCACACUGGGACUGAGACACGGCCCAGACUCCUACGGGAGGCAGCAGUAGGGAAUCUUCGGCAAUGGACGGAAGUCUGACCGAGCAACGCCGCGUGAGUGAAGAAAGUUUUCGGAUCGUAAAGCUCUGUUGUAAGAGAAGAACGAGUGUGAGAGUGGAAAGUUCACACUGUGACGGUAUCUUACCAGAAAGGGACGGCUAACUACGUG
rnacentral:rRNA from 1 species